rnacentral:siRNA from 1 species
CUGUUUCGUCAAAUUCUUCUGA